GAAUUUACUUACCAAGAUGCAUGUAAAGUUUUUUCUUAUUCAUUCACACAAAAAUUGCCUUGGAUAGAUAGAUCUGUGGAGUUCGUUAGUGUAUGGGCUUGUUUAAUCUCGAGUCAAAACUUCAUUUAUGUGCUUCGGAUAUGUACGGUUUAAUUUGUAGGCAUCGAAAUAAUUUGUCAGUUCUACAAGUUAUCAGCGGUAGUGUUCGGUUAUAAGUAUUUUGAAAGAGGAUUUGUAUGUGUUGUUAGUUUGAUAUUUCUUAUGGGAGUCCGUUUUGAAUUUGAUUUCCAACUCGAUGUAACGAUUACUUUGUUGUGUUAGAAGAAAUAAGUUUAGAAAUGAUAUGUAUGGAAAGUUAUUAGAGUGUAACCAUCAACCUUAAUAUAUGAUUCAUAUGUUUUCAUUAUGCAUUUGAUUUAUGUGGAAAGAUUACCCUUUAUGCAUAUGAUUAUACUGAACCUUAACUCUUAUUGUUUCCGUUGUUUGUGAGGAUUGAAGUUAAGAUAGCAAGGAUACCUCAAUCGGAUUAUAAACACUAUUUUCUCCAAACUUAUAGGGCACUUCAUCUUUUCUGAUAAAAGAACCAUUCAGAUUGAGGCAACCCUGCUCUACUAUGGUUACUUGUUUUAAAACCUUUUCUCGUCUAGGCAGUGAAUGCUAUUGUUAUAAACCAACCAACUAGAUAUGAGGCAACCCUUCUCUACUCUGGUGAAGUCUAAUAUGGGACAUGAUUAUAGCUACUCACAACCAUCUACUUCAGAUCCGAGUGACCAAUACUCACAAGACACCGCAGAUAGGGAAACAAAAGGAUACAUUGAUGGAUGAAGCUCAGAGCAGUUAUCACUUUGCUCAGCCUAUUCAACCAGAGGUUGAGGUUUGAAUUCCGAAGUAAUGUUAUUGUGGAUGUCAACCUCUUCUUCAUACCUCAUACACAAGAAAUGAUCCGGGGAGAAGGUUCUACACUUGUGAAAAUGUCUCUGAUGGAGAGAUGAACAUCCACAAGUGGUGGGAUGUGGCAGUUAUGGAGGAUUUGAGAGAAAGGGCCACAUUAGAUGAAUUGUCCCAAGAAAAGGUGAGAGACCAAUAUAGUAAAAGUGAUGAAAAGAUUAAGGCACUUGAGAAGGUAGUUCAUGAGUUGCAGAAGAGUAAGCUUGUAGUGGGAUAUGAGUUGGUUAUUGGUGCCAGCUUUUCUAUAUAAAAGAAGGAAACCUUUCCCCUUCCAUUGUAACUCAUAAUCGCUUAUCACAUCUCUUUCCAUACAAUCGUA